rfam:Buttiauxella agrestis ATCC 33320 GBAG.assembly.001, whole genome shotgun sequence.
UACGUCUGUAGUUUAAAGAGGAUAAGAAUCUCCGAAGGAGGUUUGAGCCGAGCGAAGCGAGACAACGUUGCUUUAGCAACGGCCCGCAGGGGAAUAAUCCUCUCUCGCCGACCA